GGGGAAUCUUGCACAAUGGGGGCAACCCUGAUGCAGCGACGCCGCGUGAGCGAUGAAGCCCUUCGGGGCGUAAAGCUCUUUCGACCGGAACGAUAAUGACGGUACCGGGAGAAGAAGCUGCGGCUUACUACGUGCCAGCAGCCGCGGUAAUACGUAGGCAGCAAGCGUUGUUCGGAGUUACUGGGCGUAAAGAGUGCGUAGGCGGUUUUCUAAGUUCGGUGUGAAAUCUCCCGGCUUAACUGGGAGGGUGCGCCGAAGACUGGGAAGCUGGAGUGUGGGAAAGGCAGGCGGAAUUCCUGGUGUAGCGGUGAAAUGCGUAGAUAUCAGGAGGAACACCGGCGGUGUAGACGGCUUGCUAGACCAUAACUGACGCUGAGGCACGAAAGCGUGGGUAGCAAACA
rnacentral:rRNA from 1 species